GACGAACGCUGGCGGCGUGCUUAACACAUGCAAGUCGAACGGAAAGGCCCUGCUUUUGUGGGGUGCUCGAGUGGCGAACGGGUGAGUAACACGUGAGUAACCUGCCCUUGACUUUGGGAUAACUUCAGGAAACUGGGGCUAAUACCGGAUAGGAGCUCCUGCUGCAUGGUGGGGGGUGGAAAGUUUCGGCGGUUGGGGAUGGACUCGCGGCUGAUCAGCUUGUUGGUGGGGUAGUGGCCUACCAAGGCUUUGACGGGUAGCCGGCCUGAGAGGGUGACCGGCCACAUUGGGACUGAGAUACGGCCCAGACUCCUACGGGAGGCAGCAGUGGGGAAUAUUGCACAAUGGGCGGAAGCCUGAUGCAGCAACGCCGCGUGCGGGAUGACGGCCUUCGGGUUGUAAACCGCUUUCGCCUGUGACGAAGCGUGAGUGACGGUAAUGGGUAAAGAAGCACCGGCUAACUACGUG
rnacentral:rRNA from 1 species